CCCAUUCCAUAGACUGCAUAUAAAUAAAUAGGCUAGUAUUAAGUUUAUAAUGCCUGCCUGCCCUGUCCCCUUUUUUGAAAUCCAAUAUAUAGCCACUCUACCUUAAUACAGCCUCCUUUACAAAAACUUUAAUACACAAAGGUUUCUUGGGCUGUCUGGGGAGUCUGAAUUGGACCUGGCGAGCAGACCAGCCCAUAUCCAUCUGCACAGGCAUCUGAAUGGAGAGGUCCCUCCCCCAUCUCUUUGCAAAGAAGGGAUCUGCUGCCCUGACCUUCCAUGAACGCAAGCAGGCCAGUGUGUGUGUUUGACAGCCCAGUGACCAGCAGGCCAGGCUCUGUGCAACAUGAAAGUGGUGUCUGCUCCUACAGUGGGAUAAAAACCUGGGAUAAUGCAGGGCUCGGCAGCUGGCUGGCCAGAGAAUAACAGGCUCACAGGAUUGCCAAAAUAAGGAGGCAAAAUAAGAGUAUACGGCAGUGGAUUCCAUUUCUUCAUUGGGGUACAUCUGAGAUGGAGGUGUUGGUACUAAAACUUCAGGAUUGGGUGUCCUCCUGUUAUUAACACCUCAGACAUGGCUGCAGCUGGACUGGGUGUGCCUGGGCCCGACAAAUCUCUCGGGGGACAGGAUCGUCAGCUCAGAGACGCGAGGACCAAGUGGCCGAUGCACAUGAACAGGGUGAGCGAGGCUCGUGUGUUUUCUCAUCGUGGGAGCUGCCGUGGAAUCAUUGAGCUACAGCUAGAACGGAUGAGCUUCCAACAACAGAGCAUCUGUCCCUGGAGCUCGCAUAGUGAGUCUGAACUGAGCUGUCCAGUCUGGGACAUGCAGUGAGUAUCGGGAUGUUUUAUGCACAGAUCAACCAUUUUGAAUAGGCAUCGCCUUAUAAGCCCUGCGUUUGCCACUCUCUGUGGACAUUUAGCAUAGCCGUGAGAACUCUCGGGACUGCAGAUCUGUUUGAUUUGAGCCUUUUUCGCCUCUGCAUUUCUGCACUUGUGUUAAUUUUUUGAAAGCCAUGGAAAAAAAAAUACACACAAAUCGCUGCCGAGUUUUUGUCAGGUUGUCAGGUGUUACGGUCGCUUUCUGGACACCUCUGGGACACGAAAAGCCUUAACAGAGACUUACAAUGCCGGGUCAGCUCUUGGCUGUCAGUCAGUGGCCGUGGCAGCUGCGUUGCAAAGCACUUCACCGUCGGAGUCUUUCUGGCACCACUCAGCUUUUCCUGGGUUUAUGGAGCGGUUUUAACGGGUUUUCCACAGCACCUGACCCCACCCCACAACGCAUCUACCCUUCACUACUCCCAGAAGAGGACAUCGUCUGACGUGCGGCUUGUUUUGGAUAGGGGAGAGUAGCGCCAUUAUCAUUUUGAUGAUUGCAGAAUCAUAAUAAAAAAUGGCCAUAACUCUCCGGUCACGCAGUAAAUGUCCGUUAUGUUAAUGGCGUGAAUAUUUCCUUAUUAGCAGCGGGGAAAUGUGCUGAGC